GGAUGGAUGAUAUCUUUUGAUUUAUAAAUAAUAAAUAAUUUUUUAUAAAAAAAAUUAGUUCUAGAACCCACGUGCAAUGUGUCGGUUUAAAACUAAUUCACUAAUAUAUUUCACUUGGUCCUAUACUAUGUAUAUAUUGAUGAAUUCUAUAUUCUAAAAAUUAUAUAUCAAUUUAUUUAGAGAUGUGUAAUAGAUCACUAUUAAAUAUAUAUGAAAAAUGCUUACAGUAUGUAUCAGGA
rnacentral:lncRNA from 1 species